rnacentral:rRNA from 1 species
UUCGCCCUUAGAGUUUGAUCAUGGCUCAGGAUGAACGCUAGCGGCAGGCUUAACACAUGCAAGUCGAGGGGUAACAGAGAAAAGCUUGCUUUUUUGCUGACGACCGGCGCACGGGUGCGUAACGCGUAUACAAUCUGCCUUAUACAGAGGGAUAGCCUUUAGAAAUGAAGAUUAAUACCUUAUAGUCUAUAUAUAUAGCAUUAUAUAAAUAGUAAAGCUUCGGUGGUAUAAGAUGAGUAUGCGUCCUAUUAGUUAGUUGGUGAGGUAACGGCUUACCAAGACAACGAUAGGUAGGGGCCCUGAGAGGGGGAUCCCCCACACUGGUACUGAGACACGGACCAGACUCCUACGGGAGGCAGCAGUGAGGAAUAUUGGACAAUGGAGGCAACUCUGAUCCAGCCAUGCCGCGUGCAGGAAGACGGCCCUAUGGGUUGUAAACUGCUUUUAUAUAGGAAGAAACCUUUUCACGUGUGAGAAGCUGACGGUACUAUAAGAAUAAGGACCGGCUAACUCCGUGCCAGCAGCCGCGGUAAUACGGAGGGUCCGAGCGUUAUCCGGAAUCAUUGGGUUUAAAGGGUCCGUAGGCGGGAAUCUAAGUCAGUGGUGAAAUCUUGCAGCUCAACUGUAAAAUUGCCAUUGAUACUGGAUUUCUUGAAUUAGUGUGAAGUGGUUAGAAUGUGUAGUGUAGCGGUGAAAUGCAUAGAUAUUACACAGAAUACCAAUUGCGAAGGCAGAUCACUAACACUAUAUUGACGCUGAGGGACGAAAGCGUGGGGAGCGAACAGGAUUAGAUACCCUGGUAGUCCACGCCGUAAACGAUGGAUACUAGCUGUUCGGUCUUCGGACUGAGUGGCUAAGCGAAAGUGAU